UACGUAGGGGGGCUAGCGUUGUCCGGAAUCAUUGGGCGUAAAGAGCGUGUAGGCGGUCCGGUAAGUCCGCUGUGAAAGUCAGGGGCUCAACCCUUGAAUGCCGGCGGAUACUGUCGGGCUAGAGUCCGGGAGAGGCGAGUGGAAUUCCUGGUGUAGCGGUGGAAUGCGCAGAUAUCAUGAGGAACACCAAGUGGCGAAGGCAGCUCGCUGGAACGGGUACUGACGCUGAGGCGCGAAAGCGUGGG
rnacentral:rRNA from 1 species